AUUCCCUCUAGUCCUAUCAUAAGUCACCUGUGAGAAGAGGCCGACCCCCAGCUCCCCACACCUUCCCCUCAGGUAGCUGUAGCCAGCAAUGAGGCCUCCCCCGAGCCUCCUCUGAAGGGCCCGUCCCACAAGGAGAGCUCGCAUGGAGCCUCAUCGGGACGCAGCUGGCAGCCCCCAGUCCCCCGCUGCCCAGGGCCAUGCUCUCACCCUCUGGCUGCCACCUGCAGAGUUGGGGCAAGCCUGCCUGGGGCCCAGAAAAGAAGCUGCCCCACAUGUGCUCCGGGCUGCAGGUGGCGAAACCCCUCAGCCACGUUUCUUUCAAGAGCCUGGGGUGCCUAUAAAUACAUUUCUUUGCAAACCUGCUGCAGUCUCAGUGAAACAUUGCCAGAGGCGGCCUGCAGAAACUGAAUCCUGCCCCUCUCUGAAGAAACUCAGCCUGAAAAGGUUUCCAUAGAGCCCCCAGGAGCCCAGUUUCCACAGCAGGCUGCUUUUCCUCACACAGGCUGCUUCUCACAUGCAUAGACAGGAUACGCGCAUCCCUGCGUCACAGGCGAGGCGAGACAUUUGGGAUGUACGCCCCUGUUGGGAUGUACGCCCCCCUUGGGAUGUACGCCCCCGCCUCUCACCCCUCUCCAGGAAAUGACUUUGCUUGGAAAGUACAGGAGACGUAAUCCACGCUGUGUUCCUCUUGUUAUCUGCAAGUUGUCUGGCCACGCUCACGCUCCUCACCACCUACAUUUUAACCUCAAGGCCUUUACUUUUGUAAACCGCUGUACAAAUGCUUAAUUUACAUCCGUUGGUAAUGUUUUGUCUUUCGGCAAGACUGGAGAUUAGAUGUAAGUUUAAGCAAUGUGUAUUUUCAGCACUAGUAUUCAUAUUUGUCAAAAUAUUCUCUACAGAGCUUGAGAUAAGUCCCGCAGCUCUUAGAGGGGCCUUUGUUUUAAACCACACCAGCGGGCCUGAUAAACACACCUGCAGUUACCUGAAAAAGGAGAUUUAACUUUGCUGGCUUCUCGGAAGAAACGCGUUAAUGUGAAAAAAGCGAAACUGGUGUAUUGGCCCAUAGUUGAAGUAGCAAGGCCCGGAGCAAUCUGAGUUUCUGUUCGCAUCUGCAGGAUUUUGUGCUUUUCGUUCCAGUUGAAGAAAAUGAACAUCCUGAUAACGAACCGGAAUAUUACAACUUUAAUAGGAUAAAAAUAAAUCACAUGCUGCACCAGUAACACCUGUAGUCAUCCAGGUUGACAAUAACUAGAUACAAUAUAUUAUUGUCCGUGGCCUUCCUGCUUCACGCUUCUUUCCAGCAACGCAGUGUCAGCUGGCUAAAUGGCAGGAAACCCAGACAGGCUCCGCUGUGUGAGCCCAGCCACUUCCAGCCAGUCUGAAACCCUUGCUUGGUGAACAAUCGCCAUCAGGCUGUGGAAAAAAAAGCAUUUCUUUGAGAAGGAAGGCUGUUUACCCUGUGCAGUUUUGGUUCCCUGUUUUGAAACGACAUCAUUUUUAACCUCAGACAUAACAAGCAGCACAACUUGGGAAAAAGAGCAACACUUUAUUGCAUGUAAGUACAGUGCACAAACACACCUUCCUGCUGUCCAGUUGCUGAAGUUACCAAGAUUCAGGUCCUCCUCUUACACCAAGGAAGGGCAUCCGAGUGCAGCGCCUGCAGCUCCUGGCUGACAGGGGAAGGCGAAAGGGAAACCAAGGCACGCAGCAGGAGCUGCCACUGCCCACGUCAGCACGGCAGGCGCUGGGGUGGGCUGUGACUGGCAGGGCAAUGCAGCAGCUCCUUUCUGCAAGUUCAGCAUUCAGCCUGCAGAGGAACUACUCGUCCUUGCUGCUGAACCUCAGCUGAGAAGCUCGGUGCAGUGGUACACCUCUACUAGCAGUCCCCCGGUGUAAACACCGAGUGAUUCCGAAACCCGUGGGCUCGUCCUGGGGUUAGGUAGGUGUGACCGAACUUGCACAGUUAGGCAAGAAGGUAGCAAAACACAGUUGUUUCGAACCUUUAACUAGAAAGACAUUGUUUUUCCCCCCCUACCUAGUUCUUGUUAGACCCUGUGGCUUUUUGAAGCAAUGUCUAAGAAGCUGCAGCAGCACUGCAAGAACGGGGUGGCAUUUUUACAAGAUGAAGGAAUAUGUGGUGUAUUUUGGGACUAGGAAGCUGUUAGGAUUUCAUCGCUUGCUUCCCUCUGGUAGUCCAGCCGUAAUUGAAGACGAUUGCACGAUGGCCUGGUUCAACAUUCACUGCACUGCUGCUUUUUACGUGAUAGCACUAACAUUAGGCUUGCCAUUCCUGGUGAGAGCUUUCCAGGAAUGGAAAUCGGCAUGGCUUUUUGUAAAUAUAAUUACACGAUUUCCUCCUGGACAUUCCAAAAGCCUUUGUCAGGUCGUGUACGUCUUGUUCCAGGUAACUGCGAAGCAGACUGGGGGUACUCACGGGUCAGAACCGUGCUGCCGGCCUGCAGUGAGGUUUCACCAGCGGAGGGGAAAGCAGAGCCACACAGAACGAAACCGAACAUGGAGAGGAGGCAGAUAAGCUCUGUGGCUUACAAACAUUUAACUUUUAGGAUCAGAUGAAAACACAAAAGAAAAUAUUUUUGUUCUAUUUAUUUGAAAGGCCAUGAGCUCUUAAUUAAACAGCUUUGAUUAAAACUCACAUGCUUCUAUCUAAUUUUGAACACAGGUAAGGUAAUUUGACUUACAAACAUUUAAGCCCCUGCACAUGCACUAGAUACAUAAAAGUCAAAGUUGGAUCACAUCAUAAUUACACAGCUUACCUGGUAAAUGCAUUUCUGUCCGUAGAAGGCAGCCCCGAAACGCUGCAGAAGCACAAACGGAGCUGGCUGUUGCAGGUGCCCGACAGCCCGGGGAGAUGCAAGAGGAGCACCCAGCGCCCGAGGAGGAGAGGCAGUGAUGUCUUUACCACGGUGACUCUGACCUGGCUCCCGGCGAAGCUGCGGCAGCACGGCCAAGCCAUCCCUGGGAACCAGGCGCAGUGACGAACAGAUCUGCUGGGAGCUGAGAAGCCCAAGGCCCACGGUUUGAAGUUUGAAUGGUUGUUUCCAUCUUCUUUCUGUAGCCCUCUAUUCCUCAUGCGUACACACGAUCGCACCGCCCGAUUCUCUCCCUGUGCUGCUCCUGUGCAACCUCACUGACUUUGCCUGCAUGGGAGGAGAGCCAGGCCUGCCACCAAUGUCAACACACCUUGGGCCCGAGCACGCGUUCCUUAAGCUUGCUUUCCUUUCGGUUUUAAAUGCUCAGCAGUGUCCCAGCGCUCCGGGUGGGCCCUUCUUCUCUCCCGCACCUCCCGGCCCCGCACACGGUGGCUGGUAGCGUUACGGCCCCAAGUCGGGCACCGGGAGCGCUUCGUUCCGGACCUUGGGUACAGCCAGCAGUCAUCUGCCACGAGCUAUACGUUGGUUGGCCGUAAUUAGAAGCUUGCUUAUGUGCAUGGAAUUUCAGUUUGGAGGAGGAAAUCGGCAGAAAUGAAGGCAGUGGACUUUGUAAUUUUAAAAGGUUCUUUCUUCGUUAAUUACUAUGGAGGGAAUAGAAGUUAGUGAAAAAUCAAGUCACAUAUGCAAAAUGCAAGGCCUUAGAAAUAAACUGCUGAAGUAUCAGGCAACGAGUUAAACCGACUGAAAAUGCAAUAAAUCCAUUAAUGCUGGAUCAAAAUAUCUACCUAUUUUUUCAAAAAUACAAUGCCAAAUGCAAUAGUGGACUAAUUGUAAAUUUGUGCUAUUACAAAUGUGCUUCUUUUCCCUUGCUCUGUUUUUACAUCAUUGGCAAAAUAUACUAUUCUGUACUGUACAAUAUAUUUUCUCACUAUAUUGAUUUUCUACUGCUUAUACAGAGUAGAAGUAAUAUCAAAGGGGACUCUGGCAUCAAGUUUACUCUAUUUUGUUUUUCAGGAAAUAUUUGUAAGCCAUGUGAUCUGUGGUAUGUGACAUUUACGGUCGGACUUGCAAAUACUGACUCUCGGACAAGGCAGUUAGAAACGCGGUGUCAGCAGCAGGUGUUUGCAGGACCUAGUCCAGACAGUCCCUCACUGCCAAGAAGUCUGAGGGGAAAAGGCAAGUCUAGAAACAUCACUGAGACUAAGCCAGUGCUACUCCCCGCCUCACCACAUUCAGAGAAAUUAGCUAUGAAUCAUAAAAGGAAUGACACACUCUUAUUACUGCCUCAAAAUAAUUUCUACCUUCUCCCCAGUUUUGUGUAUGGAUUCGAGCAGACUGUUUCUCUGGACUUCUUAAAUGGGUUCCAUGUCAGGGAGAAAACCUUUGUCUCCAGCUUAACAAAAGUUUUGACACUACGUAGAAUCCUCAGCUCUUUUCCAGGCUAAUUCCUUUCAGAACAUUAUUAAAAUGUCCCUUUAUUUUUCUAUAUAAAAUAAAUUGCACUCGAAUAACAAUCUAACAAAGGUUAUUCAAAUAACUGCUCUUCAAAUAAUAUACUCUCUUUUGGCCUCAUUUUAAUGAUAGCGGUAAUUUCAUUUCCCCAAAGCUAAAGUUGGCUACGUUACAGUACCUUGCAGUCCUGUUACUCUUUGGAGAAGUAAGGAUUGAAGGAAUGGGAGGUAACUGCAUCAAAAGACACGACAGCAGAAUGCCAGGUAUCUAAACCCGCUUUAACACCAACUGGGGUGUAUGACCUAAUUUUAAAGUAAUGACUUUUAGAAGAGAAAAUAGAUUUGUAUAAAUGGCAUUUUACACAACAUGCAUCUGGUUUUGAUUUUGAUUUUUUUCCUUCAUGGUCUCUCGAUUAUUUUUUUCUUUAAAAACGUGAAGACCGUGGAAUCAAGGGCAGGCUUAAAAGCACUGAGCCUGGAAAACAAAAUAUAUCAGAGGACACAUUUAAUAUAUUCCUAAAGCAAACGUGACUAAUGAAAGCCCUAAUUUACUCAAAUUAGUAUGCUCUAAGGUAAUAAUAUUAUCAAUAUUAUAUUGAGAAUGGUAGAGUGAUAGUGGUAAAGAGAUUUGGGGAGAUUUCAGAGGAGUCUACAGCACUGAGACCAAACUGAAUUCAGAAGACUUGCAGUCAAACUGAACUGCAGCUUAAGGGUCUAUGCACAUCUACAGUAACUACCAUCAUUUUCUUGUUCCUACAGCUACCUGUCCUCCUUUUUGUAGUUUUCACUCCACAAGUAUGUGUUAAACAACAUGUUAGAAGCAAGGGACACAGCAGGUUAAACCCCCAAAUACCAACUUCAGAAGAAGUUUUCAAACAUGGAGAAAAAAAAAACAGUAAAAUGUUCUUCUAUCCGCAGAAACCACCAGUAACGCUCUGCAAAUGACCGCUGGCAGCUGCCCUGCUGGAGCCACCGAGCGCCCUCCACCCCACGCCCGCUCCCGUGCCUGGGUCCGUCAGAGCCAGCCAGAAACACGCGGUACCAGAAGCAGGCUCAACAACGAGAAGUGGUGUGACUAGCAAGAGACACGGGGCGUGCUUCAGGAACUCCUCUUGCUUAUCAAGUACAGAAUCUGGGGCGCCACCUAAUUUCCACGGUAAGAUGAUUUUUCAGAGUAAAAUCUAGGCGUAGGGCCACGCUGCACUAGCGGUGCUCAACUGAUUUUUACCAGCCCAACACGUUUAGAAAAUGAUCACAGAAUUUGGCCUACUACUUAUAAACUAAAAUUUGAUAUAGAACGGCUUUGUCUUCCCUUUUAAACAGCAAUUUCAUAAUAUACUCACUGAGAAAACACUGUCAGUUGUGAGGUGCACAUCCCAUAGGAUAACUGCUCGGCCAUGUAGCUAGUAUAAGAACCUGUACAUCUGUUAAAUACAACUCGCCAGAAAGGAAAUAUUUUAAAUUAAGAAUUUAACAAUGAAUUGUCUUUAAAGUGGCUUCAAGAUUUUUAAAAUACUUUGCUAAUUCAUUCACAAGCACAUGAAUGCACUGACAUAUAUUGUCUUUAGAUCUUAAUACUGCCGUAUCACUUUUAUUGGGUAAACUAUCAUUAAUCCAAAAGUGUCCUAACGAAAAAAACAGGUAACCAAAAAAAAAAAAGUAUAAACAUUUCUAAAAUUCUCUGUAUAAGCCAGAGCUUAGGACCAGAACUCUGAUCUUUACUGUAAUAAUAUUUUAAUAGCAAGAGAAAUGGUAUGAGGACUGGAAAAUUAGUCGUACUCGUAUUCAUUGAGGAAUACAUGAACUUCACAAUUUUAUAUAGCGCCAUUGCAUAAUAAAUCACAAUACAGCUGGCUAGCAUUGCUGAAGUUCUAAUACAAAUACUAUGAGUUAACAUGUCCUGAUCAACAUUGCAGCUGUUACUGAUUACUGUGUUUCCUAAAAAUAAUUUAUUUUUAAAAAUGAAAGAGUUCCAGUAGCUCGUAUCUAGAAUAAAUUAAUAAUCUAUUAGCAUGUUCAGUAUAUUUGUACUUAAAGAUAUAUCUAUCUUCAAAGAAUAAAAAAACCACCAAGCAAUGAGAUCUGCUGGAUCUUUUAUAAUUGAAUUCUUAUAUUAAAAUGGAAUGGACAGUGGGAGAGAAGAGGGUAAACUAAUUACAUACAAUAGUAAAGUAAACUUAAACCCAUAUAAUAAAGGAACUCGAUAGGUUCCUUCAAAACAAUACAUGAGUUCCCUCACAAGAUUGAUUUAUUAGAACAAAGAAAGUAGUUUUGGCACUUCAGAUGCUGCAGGUGAUGGAAUUUAUGCAUAUGUGUUGUGUAGAUCUUUCUCUUUACUAGCGUGACAUGGAAGACUUAAAAACAAGGCUCCAAAAGGCUCUAGAAAUAAAUGCCAUUUUUGUCUAGGAAAUGAUAAAGCAGUAACCUUGUUUACUAAAAAAUAUAUGUAGGUACUCUGCAGCUACCUGCCAUUAAAAUGCAAAUAUCUUCAAGCAAUUAAAUGAUCUGAUCCCUAAUGCUACUACAGAAUAAAGAUAAACAGCUGUCUAAUCUAGCUUUAUACAUCUCAGUGCAUCCUUUGCAAUUAAUACUUCAAUGCACACAAACAAGAAACUUAUUAAAGCUUAUAGAAAAAAUGUUUUGCCUAAUGCCUUCUUUCUCAUGCAGGUAUGUGUGCUGUACAUGUAAUAAAGAUUUGUAAAAAUUACUGGAGAAUGCUCCACUGUGCUAUAGCAGAAAAUAUUAGAGAAGGCAGCUGAAGCUACCAUUCCCAGACCAGAUCUCAUGGUACUUUCUCAACCUAAAUGCGCUUUUGGAAUCUGCAGGCAUUCAGCUGGAGAAAAUCAAACGGGAUCAGGUCUGUCGUGUCCAUUCUUAACUCUAUUACUCCAAUGGAUGCAGGUAUUCUAAUUUUCUUCUUGGUAACUGGCCCAUUUGAAUCAUCUAGUAAUGUUUAAGGAUGCCUUUUAGGCAGAAGAAUUGUUUAAAAAACUAAUCAUGCAUCCACGAUUUUUUAAUGCUGCUAGAGAUGUACAUCAUUUUUGGCUAUACCAGAUAUGAGAUGAAUUACUUUUCUUGUUGUUAACAACAAGAAGAUAACCAGACUCAAUGGUGGUGGAAAAUACCAGUGAUCUUUGUUAACUGGUCCAGAAAGUAGAGUAAACUGUAGUACCCAGGAAGUUCAGUUAGUGCUACAUGCUUUUAAAGCCCGCUUUUGGGAAGAAAAUAAGCGGAUACAAAAGUCAAUGAUCCUCAUUUUUUGCAAAAAUAGUUUUGACAUGAACCUGCAUAAAAAAUGCAUGUUCAGCAUAGUUCUGUCAAUUUUAGAAAAUGCAUGCAGUGUGGAGCUUUAGGAGUCUCUGCUUAAAGACAUUAGUGUGUUGUA